rnacentral:rRNA from 1 species
UACAGAGGUCUCAAGCGUUGUUCGGAUUCAUUGGGCGUAAAGGGUGCGUAGGCGGCGCGGUAAGUCGGGUGUGAAAUCUCGGAGCUUAACUCCGAAACUGCAUUCGAUACUGCCGUGCUUGAGGACUGGAGAGGGGACUGGAAUUUACGGUGUAGCGGUGAAAUGCGUAGAUAUCGUAAGGAAGACCAGUGGCGAAGGCGGGUCUCUGGACAGUUCCUGACGCUGAAGCACGAAGGCCAGGGGAGCAAACGGG